UUCCAGCAGUCACACAAAACCCUUAGAAGAUCCGAGCUCGAGUGGAGCACGGUGACCUGCCGAUACUCGGAGAUUUUUGCUGUAUAUAAGUUUUGCAGACACAGGGAUCCUUUUGAUA